rnacentral:misc_RNA from 1 species
UACAGAGACUGCAAGCGUUAUUCGGAUUCACUGGGCGUAGAGGGUGCGCAGGCGGUUGCGUGUGUCAGGUGUGAAAUCUCGGAGCUUAACUCCGAAACUGCGCCUGAAACUACGUGACUAGAGCAUUGGAGAGGGUAGCGGAAUUCACGGUGUAGCAGUGAAAUGCGUAGAUAUCGUGAGCAACACCAGAGGCGAAGGCGGCUACCUGGACAAUUGCUGACGCUCAGGCACGAAAGCGUGGGGAGCAAAAGGG